AUGUUGUGAUGAGGACACUUUCUCAAUAGUAUUUAAACCUUUCCCAAAUGUCAUAUAAUGAUUCCCCAUCAGUUUGGAAGAAGCUAUUGAUCUCUCCUCUCAAUCU